CAUGAACAGUCCAUUAUUAAUGAUUUGUUCCCCAUGUCGACACUUACAGACUGUAAUCUAGUCACACCUUAACCUUCUCUCUGUUAAGCUAAGUAGACCGAGCUCUUGGGGUGUAUCACUGUAAGGCCUGGUUUCUAAUUCUUUAAUCAUUCUCAUGGCUCGUCUCUGAACCCUCUCCAAUUUAUCAAUAUUCUUCUUGCAUUCUGGGCACAGACUCAUCCUGCCUCAGGCCUGGGGAUGCAUGAGGUGACUUCCUGAGGCCCCUUACAGUCCUACAUUGCUAUAAUUCUAGGAUAUGUUUCGACAUCAUCAAAACGAGAAAAUUGAGAGGGUCCAUGAUGACUUUCUCCCUUUGAAAUUAUCGUUGUAAUCAAUAUGUUCCCAUGAUGCCACAUUUUUUGAUGGAACUCUCUUUGAAUGAAACUGUCUUGACCAGUUCCACUCAUGGACUCGUAGAUUUCAUGGAGCCAUAGAGUUUAAGGACCGUUAGAUCAUCUAGUUUGACCCUGUGCACAUCUCAGGCCAUUACAUUUCACACAG